GCCAGGUGUGGUGGUGUACACCUGUAAUCCCAGCUACUUAGGAGGUUGAGACAGGAGGAUUGCUUAAGCCCAGGAGUCUGAGGUUACAGUGAGCAAUGAUCUGGCCACUGUACUCUAGCCUGGGCAACAGAACAAGACUCUGUCUCAA
rnacentral:SRP_RNA from 1 species